GCAGUCGCCGCGGUAAUACGUAGGGUGCGAGCGUUAAUCGGAAUUACUGGGCGUAAAGCGUGCGCAGGCGGUUGUGUAAGACAGGUGUGAAAUCCCCGGGCUUAACCUGGGAACUGCGCUUGUGACUGCACAGCUAGAGUAUGGCAGAGGGGGGUGGAAUUCCACGUGUAGCAGUGAAAUGCGUAGAGAUGUGGAGGAACACCGAUGGCGAAGGCAGCCCCCUGGGCCAAUACUGACGCUCAUGCACGAAGGCGUGGGGAGCAAACAGGAUUAGAUACCCCUGUAGUCCCUGUCUCUUAUAC
rnacentral:rRNA from 1 species